GAUGAACGCUGGCGGCGUGCAUAAUACAUGUAAGUCGGACGGAGAUUGUAGCAAUACGAUCUUAGUUGCGAACGGGUGAGUAACGCGUGGGUGACCUGCCCCGAAGACUCGGAUAACAGAGCGACAGGUCUGCUAAUACCGGAUGAGCUCUGCCGAGUAAGAGGUAGGUAGAGGACAGCAGCGUCGCGCUUUGGGAGAGACCUGCGUCCCAUCAGCUAGUUGGUAGGGUAGAAGCCUACCAAGGCGACGACGGGUAGGGGGCCUGAGAGGGUGGCCCCCCACACUGGCACUGAAACACGGGCCAGACACCUACGGGUGGCAGCAGUAGGGAAUAUUGCACAAUGGGCGAAAGCCUGAUGCAGCAACGCCGCGUGUGCGAAGAAGGCCUUCGGGUCGUAAAGCACUUUUCUGGGAGAAGAGGAAGGACGGUAUCCCAAGAAUAAGGAUCGGCUAACUACGUGCCAGCCGCCGCCGUAAGAC
rnacentral:rRNA from 1 species